rnacentral:rRNA from 1 species
GUCACCUACGGGAGGCAGCAGUGGGGAAUAUUGCACAAUGGGGGAAACCCUGAUGCAGCAACGCCGCGUGAGUGAAGAAGUCAUUCGUGAUGUAAAGCUCUAUCAGCAGGGAAGAAAAUGACGGUACCUGAGGAGGAAGCCACGGCUAACUACGUGCCAGCAGCCGCGGUAAUACGUAGGUGGCGAGCGUUGUCCGGAUUUACUGGGCGUAAAGGGAGCGUAGGCGGGCUUUUAAGUGAGAUGUGAAAUACUCGGGCUCAACUUGAGUGCUGCAUUUCAAACUGGAAGUCUAGAGUGCAGGAGAG